rnacentral:rRNA from 1 species
GACGAACGCUGGCUGCGUGCUUAACACAUGCAAGUCGAACGGAAAGGCCCUGCUUUUGUGGGGUGCUCGAGUGGCGAACGUGUGAGUAACACGUGAGUACCCUUCCCUUGACUUUGGUAUAACUUCAUGAAACUGUGGCUAAUACCGGAUAGGCGCUCCUGCUGCAUUGUGUGGGUUGGAUAGUUUCGGCGGUUGGGGAUGGACUCGCGGCUUAUCAGCUUGUUGGUGGGGUAGUGGCUUACCAAGGCUUUGACGGGUAGCCGGCCUGAGAGGGUGACCGGCCACAUUGGGACUGAGAUACGGCCCAGACUCCUACGGGAGGCAGCAGUGGGGAAUAUUGCACAAUGGGCGGAAGCCUGAUGCAGCAACGCCGCGUGCGGGAUGACGGCCUUCGGGUUGUAAACCGCUUUCGCCUGUGACGAAGCGUGAGUGACGGUAAUGGGUAAAGAAGCACCGGCUAACUACGUG